CACACCGUUGGAGAAAGUAAUUUAUCAGGUAAACAUAAAUUCUGUUUUACAUGUAAAUGAUAGCAGUGUUUAUCAUAUGCAGGCAGAGAGCACAUUUUACAUGUAAAUGAUAGCAGUGUUUAUCACAUGCAGGCAGACAGCACAUUUUACAAGUAAAUGAUAGCAGUGUUUAUCACAUGCAGGCAGACAGCACAUUUUACAUGUAAAUGAUAGCAGUGUUUAUCACAUGCAGGCAGACAGCACAUUUUACAUGUAAAUUAUAUCAGUGUUUAUCAUAUGCAUGAUAAAUAUAUUAAGAUGGUAUCACUGGUUAUUUUCAUCUUUUACAGGAAAGGACGAGCAGCCAGAAGAUCAGAUGCUCAGAUAUGUAGAUGAGCUGAGGAAGCACCAGGAGACAGUUGAACAAUCCAAGAGUAUGAACACAAAGGACAUAUAAUUUAAUGGUCCGGAUUCCCUGUGCUGCUUGGUGCUCCUGGCGCUGAUCCGGCUGACACUAUUAAUCUAUAGGAGUGGGCAGGGGAAUCAGCUUUAAUCACAUUGAGGAAAAAUCAAUAUGUUUGUAGGGCAUAGGUGCAAAAAUGAGGGGAGGGGGCCUUGGGUUUUUGACCCCCACCAUAAAUGAUUAGUUCACUUCAUUUCAAUGUGGCUUGUGGCCACUUACCUGUGUUUGCCUCCUGAUUUAUAAAGUAAUAAGGCACUCGGGAGUUGCGCUGCCAUGUGAGUGAGUUUUGGUGCCUUUACAUUACCUAUCAGGGUUAUAAACUCAUGAAAUAAUGCCACUUGUUACAGCAUUAGUAUCUGCUGUAUUGUAAACAGUUAAUGUAAAUUAAUUUCAGUCCAGUUCACACAAACUAAAUGCAUUGCAAACCUGACAAUAUACGCAGAGAUGUCACAUAGCCAAAAAAUACUCUGCAGUGUAAUGAAACCUUCUGUCCUGUCAGGUGGAUUAUAAAUAGAUAACAGAACCAAAUGAUUUGUAAAAACAACUUGUGAGGCUCCAUAUUUUGUAAGAUACCAGAAUUGAACCUGCUGUUGUGUAAUAUUGUUAUUAUUUCCCAUUCUUGCUGAGUGCCUUAUUGACACCUGUCAGUAUAUUAGCCCUCCCAUACAUUGUCCUGUAGUGCCCCUGGUGUAUUUAGCUGUGUGCAAGGGAGUGAUUAUUCAUAGAGAUACAUGUUUACUAAUUAACCCAUUGUAUGCCAUCUGCGGCCCUUACCUUCCCAUGAUGGGUCAUGGUUUCUGUAUAGCUGUGGGUGAGCGCAUCCAGUAUUGUGACUGACCCACCUGUACACUUCAGGGAAAGCGGGGAAUCUGACCUGGCACCAGCUCCUGAAGGCCACAGAGUGUAGCCAAGGGAAACUCUUAUGUGCAUCACCUUGGCAGGGAACAGGACAACACAUAUAGGGCCCAUUCAUCAGCUCCUGAAGGCCACAGAGUGUAGCCAAGAUAAUCUCUUAUCCACAUCACCUUGGCAGGGACCAAGACAACACAUAUAGUGCUCAUUCAUAAGCUCCUGUAGGCCACAGAGUGUACUCAAGGGAAACUCUUAUGUGCAUCACAUUGGCAGGGACCAGGACAACCCAUAUAGGGCUCAUUCACCAGCUCCUGAAGGCCAAAGAGUGUAGCCAAGGGAAACUCUUAUGUGCAUCACAUUGGCAGGGACCAGGACAACACAUAUAGUGCUCAUUCAUAAGCUCCUGUAGGCCACAGAGUGUAGUCAAGGGAAACUAGUGCACAUCACCUUGGCAGGGACCCCAGGACAACACAGAUAGUGCUCAUUCAUCAGCUCCUGUAAGUCACAGAGUGUAGCCAAGGGAAAUUCUUAUGUGCUUCACAUUGGCAGGGACCAGGACAACCCAUAUACAGUAGUGCUCAUUCAUUAGGUUCUGAAGGCCACAGAGUGUAGCCAAGGGAAACGCUUUUGUGCAUCAGAUUGGCAGAGACCAGGACAACACAUAAAGUGCUCAUUCAUCAGCUCCUGAAGGCCACAGAGUGUAGCCAAGGGAAACUCUUAUGUACUUCACAUUGGCAGGGACCAGGACAACACAUAUAGUGCUCAUUCAUCAGCUCCUGUAAGUCACAGAGUGUAGUCAAGAGAAACUCUUAUGUGCUUCACAUUGGCAAGGACCAGGACAACACAUAUAGUGCUCAUGCAUCAGCUCCUGUAAGUCACAGAGUGUAGUCAAGGGAAACUCUUAUGCACAUCACAUUGGCAAGGACCAGGACAACACAUAUAGUGCUCAUGCAUCAGCUCCUGUAAGUCACAGAGUGUAGUCAAGGGAAACUCUUAUGCACAUCACAUUGGCAAGGACCAGGACAACACAUAUAGUGCUCAUGCAACAGCUCCUGUAAGUCACAGAGUGUAGUCAAGGGAAACUCUUAUGCACAUCACAUUGGCAAGGACCAGGACAACACAUAUAGUGCUCAUGCAUCAGCUUUGCAAAUAUCCCCUUGAACUGCUUCUGUAAAGAAGCCAGGGUUGUUCUGGUAUUUCAGAGCUUAUCACUCACAAAACAUGUUAAAAUCAGAAUUCACUAAGAAUGAGUACAUUUAAGUGGGAAAAAUCUCUUCACAUUCUAGGUUGUUCAUUGCAGCUUAUUUGACUAAAAUAACUAAUCUAGGAAAUGAAGAGCUUUUAUUCACUUCAUGUGUCUCUGAAUCCUUUUUUUAUUGCUAGUUCCCCUCUUAUUAAGGUGCUAUGAUUUACAGGACACAGUCUAAGUGUAUCUUUUAUUUUUAUUUCCUGUCUUUAUCAGUAGUAUUUAGAAGUGUUCUAGUCAAUGUAGUGACUUUAUUUUAUAUUUUAAACUCUCCCAACCUUUUGUUUUGUGAUGAAAUGAUAGAUUUGUGCUUUUUCAGAGAGUGUGCAUUAGUCUGAGGUCACACAGGAGGCCAGUAAUCGUGUUCAAAAUAAUACACUGUAAUAAUAAGAGGCACCACUAGGGGGCAGAAACAUCAAGGAACUCCUGUUAACAUAAGCUUUAUUAUUAUUAAAAAGCUAUACAGGUAUUUGAUAAUAAUAUUUCAUAAAUUAAAAAUUACCCUGUGCUGAACAUUCAGUAAUCAGAUCUGCAAGUGGAAGCUUCUGUACCAACCUCUGUGUGUCCCCGUAUCAGUAUUCAUUGCAUAUAUUUCACCUUUAAUAUUUGUUUUUAUAUUUGUUCAUUUUUUUAUUCUAUACCAACCAAAUAAAAAAAACUAUAAAACCCC